rnacentral:rRNA from 1 species
UGAACGCUGGCGGCGUGCCUAAUACAUGCAAGUCGAGCGAACGGACGAGAAGCUUGCUUUUCUGAUGUUAGCGGCGGACGGGUGAGUAACACGUGGAUAACCUACCUAUAAGACUGGGAUAACUUCGGGAAACCGGAGCUAAUACCGGAUAAUAUUUUGAACCGCAUGGUUCAAAAGUGAAAGACGGUCUUGCUGUCACUUAUAGAUGGAUCCGCGCUGCAUUAGCUAGUUGGUAAGGUAACGGCUUACCAAGGCAACGAUGCAUAGCCGACCUGAGAGGGUGAUCGGCCACACUGGAACUGAGACACGGUCCAGACUCCUACGGGAGGCAGCAGUAGGGAAUCUUCCGCAAUGGGCGAAAGCCUGACGGAGCAACGCCGCGUGAGUGAUGAAGGUCUUCGGAUCGUAAAACUCUGUUAUUAGGGAAUAACAUAUGUGUAAGUAACUGUGCACAUCUUGACGGUACCUAAUCAGAAAGCCACGGCUAACUACGUG